GACGAACGCUGGCGGCGUGCCUAAUACAUGCAAGUAGAACGCUGAAGGAGGAGCUUGCUUCUCUGGAUGAGUUGCGAACGGGUGAGUAACGCGUAGGUAACCUGCCUGGUAGCGGGGGAGAACUAUUGGAAACGAUAGCUAAUACCGCAUAAUAGUAGAUGUUGCAUGACAUUUGCUUAAAAGAUGCAAUUGCGUUACUACCAGAUGGACCCGCGUUGUAUUAGCUAGUUGGUGAGGUAACGGCUCACCAAGGCAACGAUACAUAGCCGACGGGAGAGGGGAGUCGGCCAAACUGGGACUGGGACACGGGCCAAAACCCUACGGGGGGGAGCAGGAGGGGAUUUUCGGGAAAGGAAGGAAGGCUGACCGGGCAACGCCGCGGGAGGGAAGGAGGGGUUCGGAUCGUAAAGCUCUGUUGUAAGAGAAGAACGAGUGGGAGAGUGGAAAGUUCACACUGUGACGGUACCUUACCAGAAAGGGACGGCUAACUACGUG
rnacentral:rRNA from 1 species